rnacentral:rRNA from 1 species
CACGUAGGGGACGAGCGUUGUCCGGAUUCAUUGGGCGUAAAGCGCGCGUAGGCGGCUCGGAAAGUCGGGCGUGAAAUGCCGGGGCUCAACCCCGGGAACUGCGUCCGAUACGUUCCGAGCUGGAGGUAGGUAGGGGAGAUCGGAAUUCCUGGUGUAGCGGUGAAAGUGCGCCAGAUAUCAGGAGGAACACCGAUGGCGAAGGCAGCCUCCUGGGCCGAGCACUGACGCUCAUGCACGAAAGCGUGGGGAGCAAACAGG